CCUACGGGAGGCAGCAGUAGGGAAUUUUCGUCAAUGGGCGCAAGCCUGAACGAGCAAUGCCGCGUGAACGAGGAAGGUCUUCGGAUCGUAAAGUUCUGUUGAAGGGGAAAAAGAACGGAGAGAGGAAAUGAACUCCGCUUGAUAUUACCCUUCGAGGAAGUCACGGCUAACUACGUGCCAGCCGCCGCGGUACUACGUGGGUGGCGAGCGUUAUCCGGAAUGAUUGGGCGUAAAGGGUGCGUAGUCGGCCUGCUAAGUCUGGGGUGAAAGGUACCGGCUCAACCGGUAGAGGCUCUGGAAACUGGCGGGCUAGAGAGCAGGAGAGGGCAGUGGAACUCCAUGUGUAGCGGUAAAAUGCGUAGAUAUAUGGAAGAACACCAGUGGCGAAGGCGGCCGCCUGGCCUGUUACUGACGCUGAGGCACGAAAGCGUGGGGAGCAAAUAGGAUUAGAUACCCCUGUAGUC
rnacentral:rRNA from 1 species